rnacentral:rRNA from 1 species
AACGAACGCUGGCGGCAGGCCUAACACAUGCAAGUCGAGCGAAGCCUUCGGGCUUAGCGGCGGACGGGUGAGUAACGCGUGGGAACGUGCCCUUUGGUACGGAAUAGCCCCGGGAAACUGGGAGUAAUACCGUAUGUGCCCUUCGGGGGAAAGAUUUAUCGCCAAAGGAUCGGCCCGCGUUGGAUUAGGUAGUUGGUGGGGUAAUGGCCUACCAAGCCGACGAUCCAUAGCUGGUUUGAGAGGAUGAUCAGCCACACUGGGACUGAGACACGGCCCAGACUCCUACGGGAGGCAGCAGGGGGGAAUCUUAGACAAUGGGGGAAACCUUGAUCUAGCCAUGCCGCGUGAUCGAUGAAGGCCUUAGGGUUGUAAAGAUCUUUCAGUGGGGAAGAUAAUGACUGUACCCACAGAAGAAGCCCCGGCUAACUCCGUGCCAGCCGCCGCCGUAAAAC